rnacentral:rRNA from 1 species
AGUGAACGCUGGCGGUAGGCCUAACACAUGCAAGUCGAACGGCAGCACAGUAAGAGCUUGCUCUUACGGGUGGCGAGUGGCGGACGGGUGAGGAAUACAUCGGAAUCUACUUUUUCGUGGGGGAUAACGUAGGGAAACUGACGCUAAUACCGCAUACGACCUACGGGUGAAAGCAGGGGAUCUUCGGACCUUGCGCGAUUGAAUGAGCCGAUGUCGGAUUAGCUAGUUGGCGGGGUAAAGGCCCACCAAGGCGACGAUCCGUAGCUGGCCUGAGAGGAUGAUCAGCCACACUGGAACUGAGACACGGUCCAGACUCCUACGGGAGGCAGCAGUGGGGAAUAUUGGACAAUGGGCGCAAGCCUGAUCCAGCCAUACCGCGUGAGUGAAGAAGGCCUUCGGGUCGUAAAGCCCUUUUGUUGGGAAAGAAAAGCAGCAGGUUAAUACCCCGCUGUUCUGACGGUACCCAAAGAAUAAGCACCGGCUAACUUCGUG